rnacentral:rRNA from 1 species
GACAGAGGGUGCAACCGUUGUUCGGAAUUACUGGGCGUAAAGCGAGUGUAGGCGGUUUGAUAAGUCGGAUGUGAAAGCCCCGGGCUCAACUCGGGAAGUGCACUCGAUACUGUCAAGCUAGAGUAUCGGAGAGGUUGGUGGAAUUCUCGGUGUAGAGGUGAAAUUCGUAGAUAUCGAGAGGAACACCGGUGGCGAAGGCGGCCAACUGGACGAAUACUGACGCUGAGACUCGAAAGCGUGGGGAGCAAACAGG